GUUCCUUCCGCAUCUGGUUGUGCAGUACCAUAAUUGAAUUUUUUUACUUCAGAAAGAGGGGAGAAGGAUUUCCAAGUCAAAACAUUAGUUAAAGAGAAUGAAGUGACACUUGAGGACAGCACCAAAGUUACCACUUUAUCUUUUGGCACCACAAUCACUGGUGCUGCAAACCACUAACAUUUCUACACUUUUAAACACCAUUGUUCUCCAUCACUGCAGCCAUCCGCCACCGCAGCCGCCACCAGCAUGCCUCACUGCCAUCCCCACCUCCACUACCGAUCACCAUCAUCUGUGCGAGCUCCUUAUUGUCAUUGCAUUACUGCUAUCUCUAUAACCACCAUCGUCAACUGUCACUCUAUUCUUGCCACUACCACCUCUAUUAACCUUUUGGAAUUCUAACUUCUUUUUCAAUAUAAAAGAUUAUGCUAUAUUGGAUUCUAUUUGUAUUUUUUUUACCAUUCUUAUAUAUCUAUGUUUGGAUCCUCUGUCCCAAAAUCCAUCUCACCCUCUCCUAAUGCACUAAUGAAUCCCAGCCGUAUGAUGGUUCCUCUAUAUUCUCAUGUCUUGAGAUUCCCACCACAAUUGGGAGUGCAUUGAGAGCGGGGGACAGGAUGUUAGGGACAGAGGAUCAUGGCCAUAUAUAGAAAUAUGAGAGAGAAAUUUUAACAUAGUUGUUGCAAUUCUGACAUGUAGCUGUUUUACUAGAUAUUUUAUUCGCUCACAUUUUAAUGUCGUCAAAGUUAGUUGUGUCUUUAUAGGUGGUGGCUAAAUCAGAAGCUUUUUCUUUAUCUUCAAUUCACAAGAUGUGGCAUGCAUUAUCAAACUCUUCAUGUUGUCAUGGAGUGGAAAUCUGAAUUGUCAAUCCAAAAGCUCUCUUGUUUAAAUUGAAUUGUAUUGUUUGAGGAAGCUUUAUCAUCUGCACUCAAGUAUUUUUUUUUAAUUAUUAAAUAAUUAGAGACAUCGUAAUAUGUUGACUUAUAGUAAGUUCUUAUUUUACCACUCUAGAUUGCCCAUUUUGAUUUUCCUGAACUGAAUCUUAAAAUUGAAAAUUCAGAAAUUUAUUUCAUUAGUUUUUAUGUCAGAUCAUAUGUAUUUAGGAUUGGUGUCUUGGAGAACCCAUUAAUGUUGGUUGUUUGAUAUUAGCUAUUAGCUGUGCCAUGAUCUUUGUACUCAUUUGUUAAUUAUAAAUUUGUCAUGAUGUUACCAGUGAAAGGAAACCAUAGACACAGGGGAACAAGACCCGAAAUGGGGGGACAAAAUUAAAGAAAUGUGGCACGACAUAAAGAGAACAUUUUAUGUGCCCACUGCUACAGCUAAUUUUUUGAGUUGUAUGAAAGAAAUGAUACAUGCAAGUUUUUUUUUUUUUAAAGCUAAAUGUCAUCCAAACAUUGUGAAGUUCUCAUGGCUAAAAAUUUUAAAACAUGUUAAUCAUAUGAAGAGAUAGCAUAUCUACGACAAUGCUAGUGAUGGAUAUCGCUAAAUGGAUUUCCCAAAAAUUCCUGUAGAGGAGCUCUAUUUGGUUUGAGAUUAAAUAUUUCUGCAUUACACUGAUUGUUGUAACUGUUAUAUAAGCCAUGGUUGUGUGUGCAAUAACAUUAUAUUAGUAAGCUUAAAAGAUAAGCCUAUCUUGGUUAAGACUUAAAAGGCAGAGAACAGCAACUGCCACAUGUUAACCUGACUGAUGGCCGACUCAUUCCCAGCUUUCUCCAGAGCUUCAAAUCCUGGCCGAGUUUAUUAUUAUUUGUUUCAUACCUUCUCUUAGCUACAGGAAAAAUUUGAAAAUAUAACUUAAAAAUCAGAAAUAUUAGUAAUAAUAAACUUGGAGACAAAAACCUUAGACCAAUAUAAGAGAAAUAAGAUUCAUGAGCAAAUGAAAAAUGUGAACAGUUAACCUCCCAUUGGUUGUUAACAAAUUGUUAUUAUCUUGGUUUGUUCAUGUACUUGUUGUAUUAAUUGUACACACUGCAGCAAGUGUGGCAUGGUCCAAGGGCAGUUUUGUGGAGAUUGUUUGUCUAUGAAGUUUUGUGAGAACAACCUUAGUCUUCCUAUCAUUGACCUUAAUAGAAAAAAUGUUCUUAAUGAUGCUAUUACAACAUUAUUGUAAAAUGAUUGGCCUUCAGAUGAAGGGAUCAUUUAACACAAGAUCCAUAGUGUGCUUCCUCCACUAUUUCAUGCCAACAAAUGGCACACGAAGAAACCUGUUUAGUUUUCAAUACAUCAAAAGGCCAUGUGCUGAUAAAAAAAAAACAAAUAACAAUAAUAAAGACAAAAGGCCAUGUUCCUAUUAAUUAAAGAACAUUGAACUCCUACCUACUAACUAUAUACAUCUUUUUUGGUCUUUCCUAUGCAUGGCACACUCAUUUGGUAGUAAUGGUUAUAUCUCAGUUGUAUAUUUGGUGUUCCACUUACUACAAGAAAUGUUGGGUACACCAGCGUUUUUGUUGUGGUGUUUUUCAAAGUGUAGCAUGUUAGAAGGCAUUGGUUAAAUAAUCACUAUAUUAAACACCUUCGACAACAUUUAUGCAAUGCGUAUCAGAGUUCAUUUAAUGUUGUCGAAGGUGUUUAAUAUAGUGUUUAUGGUUAGGACUCUUGCGAUUUUACUUUCAAAUUUUUUGCAUUCCAAAUUUGUAUUGCAGAUCCGUUGUUUUUAAUUUAAAACUUAUAAUUCAGAUCUGAAGUUAGUAUUGCAGAUCUGAAGUUCAACGAAAUCAAAUCUCACAAUAUUUCAAUCUCUUUUCGUCUCUCUUUUACUUCUGAAAACCCUAGAUUUUGAAGAUCUGAAGAUACAACUCUAUCAAAUCACAUAGUUUCAGAUUUGCAUGAGAUGCUAGGUGUGGUCCGUUGCUUUUCUCUGAGCAGCUGUCCUUGUUUUGUGGGUGGUAUAUUAAAGGUCAUAUACUGGAUGGAUGUUAUCUCCAAUAGUUGGGUCAUAUAUGGAGCAGAUCAUGAUAUAAUGUGGCUCCAAAACAACUUUGGCAUACAUAUCUGCAAAUUGUCUGACACCGGGUUGCUGCAUAUUCAAAUGGCCAUGCGAAAGUGUAUGAGCUCCUAGAUCCACUGGAACUGAAGACUUGAGGUGAUCUUUGUAAUUCUAUACUAUUACAACUCUGCAAAUAUAAUUGUAUGUUACUUUUAUUUUCAUGUCAGUUGGAAAGCCAAGUCUAUAUUAGACCUUGCAGCAUUGGUGUCUGUUAAUUGCAUACUACUGUAAUGGCACAAAACCAAAACAUCGAUUUAGAUGGGGUUAGUCAUAAUUGUAAAUUGUAGAUAUGUAUUUUCUUGACAUAUCAGUUUUCACCAUUUUAACCACUUCUCAAUCUAAUAUAUUAGAGUCCCAAACUAGAAUUUAAUAAAACAUAAUCAGAAGGAAUCGUCAACUAAUGACAAUGUGAAAAUGUCAGAAUAGAUCAUCAAACUUUUCCUGGCACUAUCUAAAGUCUAAACAUGCUGAUGCAACCCCCUACAUACCAUGGGAAUAAAUUAUUACUUGGUCUACAUCUUAAAAUUCAAUAAAUGAAGGAAGGUCUGAUACUCAGUUUGGUUUUGUUUUCAAUUUUCAUAAUCUGAAAACAGAGAGUUUAUUUUGAAUGUCUAGUCUCUUCUAGGUCUUUUCAUAUCUUAAUUCUUUGAGAAAUAAGAGCAAAGGAAAUCAAUUUGUCUUGAAAGUUGGAACCAUUUUAGCUCUAGCAAAUGGGGCUUUGUUUAUCUUACUAAUGUUAGUUGUUGAGCUGCUUUAAUUUUUAUCAAUCCUCAUAGUGAUUCUUUAUUGAUAUGUGAUUGGUUUCCUAACUGCCUACGCCAAACUUAGACAAUUACAAAUUUUUACAUUGUAGUUGUCUGUAUAAUUUAUUUAUUUUUUUUUUGACUUUUUAGGAUGCAAAAUUAGUAAUUAAGUUUUUGUAUUCAAAUUUUGCUAAUAUAUACAAUUUGUAUUUUUAGAAUUGAUUGUUGAUGUAACAUUACACACAGAAUCGGCUACAAAACUUACUAUAGAAUCAUGUGUUGCAAAGUUUUUGUGGUUGGUUUUGUGAAUAAUACUUCUCCAACAUUCUUUUUAUUUACGUGAGCGUUUCUUUUUUUUUUCCCUUUUUUUUUUUUUUGAAAAAAGAGAGAUACAUAAUGGUAAGUAUCUUAUGUUUUUACUAAGAGAGUUAUAGAAUGAAGAAGGCUUUUUGUAUGUAUAAUGACAAAAUUUCUUUUCUCUUCAUAUUUAACAGUUGAUGCUGUGAUAGAAUUUACUCUUCUUUCUUCUUUUUUUGGGGUCAUUUUUUUGUUUUGCUACAGAGAUGGGAGAGUAUGGAGAAGUGUACAAGACUCAUAAGUAUUUUAGUCCAUAGUUAAAGUGCAAAAGUAUGGAAAACUUAGAUUAGGGUUAGAAAGAAGGAGAGAAGAACAAGGAGAAGAAGUUUAUUAAACGUAUGUUUUAGGCUUGUAUAAUAAACUUAAACCAUCAGCAAAUAUUUAUAUGAGAUACAAUAUAACCAAAUGACCAUAAUACUCUUACUCCACACAAAAAAAAUAACAUAUGACUACAUAUUCUAACACUCCCUCUUAAGCUGGAGCAUAAAGAUCGAAUAUGUCCAACAUGGCAUAGAGACUAAAAUGAAGAACGAGCAAGGGAUUUGGUGAGUAUAUCACCCAAUUGAUCAUCAAAGUAAACAUUUGGUGUCACAAGUUGCAUAUGCAACGACAAAUCCCAGAUGAAAUGACAAUCGACCUUAAUAUGCUUUGUAUGCUCAUGAAACACGGGGUUAUUAGCAAUGAAAAUAGUGACUUGAUUAUUUUUCACAGCACAUGCUCAUAAGAGUGGGAACACGAAUACCGAAAUCCUGCAAAAGAGAACAAACCCAUAACAUCUUGGAGACAGUAUGAGCCAUGACACCAUACUCAGUCUCAGCACUCGAACAAGUAACAACUGGUUGUUUCUUGCUAAACCAAGUAACAAGAUUACCCCUAAUAAAGGUGCAAUAUCUAGGUGCAAAACGACGAGUGCCGGCCCAAUCAGCAUCACUAAAGCCAAUUACAAACAAGGAAGAAGAAGGAUAAUAGAGUAAACCAUAACCUGGAGCACAUUUGAGAUAACGCAAGAUACGACAUACAACAUCAAAAUGGGUUUGACGAGGAGCAUGCAUAAAUUGGCUAGCAAUACUCAUAGCAUAAGUAGUACCUGAACGAGUGACAGUAAGAUAAAUCAACUUCCCAACUAAACGACGAUAUGAACCAGUAUCUAGAAACUACUGUCUAGUCUCACCAUCAAGUUUAACUGAGAGUCCAUAGGAUUAUCACUCAAAUGAGUGCCCAGGAGACCAGUCUUAGAAAGAAGAUCAAGAACAUACUUGCGUUGAGAAAGAAAUAAACCCCGAGAGGAUCAAGCAAUCUCAAUCCCAAGAAAAUACCGCUGAUGACCCAAGUCCUUUGUGGGAAAUUGUUUUCCCAAAUAAAGCUAUAGAUCAACAAUACCAAUGGAGUCAUUGCUAGAGAUGAUGAUAUCGUCUACAUAGACAAUGAGAACAUUAACCCCAAUAUAGAUGAGUUGCGAACAAAAACAGAGUGAUCAAAAGUGAAACGGUGGAACCCAUAUGCAAGGACAACGGUACUAAAACGAUUAGACCAACGAAGAGGAGAUUGCUUAAGACCAUACAAAGCCUUCCUUAACCAACAAACCAUAUGCUCUCUGCUAGGAACAAUAUAGCCAAAGGGCUGAUCCAUAUAGACCUCGUUGAGAUCUCCAUAAAGAAAGAAAUUCUUUAUAUCAAGCUAAUAUAAAGGGCAAGACUGGCUGACAGAAACAAAGAGUAGAAUCCAAAUAAAAUUAAGUCGAGCCACAGGGGAGAAGGUCUCCAGAUAAUCAAUGCCAUAGGUUUGAGUAUAACCUUUGGCCACUAGACGGGCUUUAAGUCGCUCAACAGUACCAUCAGGAAGAUACUUGAAAGUAUAAAUUCAACGACAACCACCAAUAGGUUUCCCAGAAAGAAGAGGUGUAAGUUCCUCAAGUCUGAUUUGAUGAAGAACACUCAUCUCCUCAUCCAUAGCAUGUUUCCAACCCGACAAGGAAAUAAUGGAAAGACAUGACAAGCUACAGGCAAAUGAGUAAAAAUUAGGGGAAAUACUAGUAUAAGAAACAAAAUGAGAAAUAAGAUGCUAAGUACAAGCAUGUUUACCUCGGCGCAAUGCAAUAGAUAAAUCAUCAUCAGAUGGCACACGUAGAGAAGGGGCACGAACCUCAGAUAAAGAAGAUGAAAUAGUCGGGCCAUAAGAAACCACGCAAUGAGCUUUGGACCACUGAUAAACCUAUAGAGGAGAUAACAGAGAAUACUCUAAACCGAUGGAAGAGGACAGGGGAACAAAGGGUACUGGAAGAGUAGGAGUGGGAAAAAAAGGGCUUCUUCUCACGACAACAGAUAAGAUCAUUCGACAACCGCUGACGAAAUGACAAAAAAAAAAAAAAAAGACUCAAAAG